rnacentral:rRNA from 1 species
GCUUGUCUCAAAGAUUAAGCCAUGCAUGUCUAAGUAUAAACAAAUCUAUACUGUGAAACUGCGAAUGGCUCAUUAUAUCAGUUAUAGUUUAUUUGAUGGUUCUUGCUACUUGGAUAACCGUAGUAAUUCUAGAGCUAAUACAUGCAUCAAACCCCGACUUUUUGGAAGGGGUGUAUUUAUUAGAUGGAAACCAAUGCGGGGCAACCCGGAUUAUGGUGAUUCAUAAUAACUUUCGGAUCGAUCUUCGGAUCGAUGCAUCAUUCAAGUUUCUGCCCUAUCAGCUUUGGAUGGUAGGGUAUUGGCCUACCAUGGUUACCACGGGUAACGGGGAAUUAGGGUUCGGUUCCGGAGAGGGGGCCUGAGAAAUGGCCACCACAUCCAAGGAAGGCAGCAGG